UACGAAGGGGCGAGCGUUGUUCGGAUUCAUUGGGCGUAAAGGGUGCGUAGGCGGCGCGGUAAGUCGGGUGUGAAAUCUCGGAGCUUAACUCCGAAACUGCAUUCGAUACUGCCGUGCUUGAGGACUGGAGAGGAGACUGGAAUUUACGGUGUAGCGGUGAAAUGCGUAGAUAUCGUAAGGAAGACCAGUGGCGAAGGCGGGUCUCUGGACAGUUCCUGACGCUGAGGCACGAAGGUCAGGGGAGCAAACGGG
rnacentral:rRNA from 1 species